GACGAACGCUGGCGGCGUGCUUAACACAUGCAAGUCGAACGGUAAGGCCCUGCUUUUGUGGGGUGCUCGAGUGGCGAACGGGUGAGUAACACGUGAGUAACCUGCCCUUGACUUUGGGAUAACUUCAGGAAACUGGGGCUAAUACCGGAUAGGAGCUCCUGCUGCAUGGUGGGGGUUGGAAAGUUUCGGCGGUUGGGGAUGGACUCGCGGCUUAUCAGCUUGUUGGUGGGGUAGUGGCUUACCAAGGCUUUGACGGGUAGCCGGCCUGAGAGGGUGACCGCCCACAUUGGGACUGAGAUACGGCCCAGACUCCUACGGGAGGCAGCAGUGGGGAAUAUUGCACAAUGGGCGGAAGCCUGAUGCAGCAACGCCGCGUGCGGGAUGACGGCCUUCGGGUUGUAAACCGCUUUCGCCUGUGACGAAGCGUGAGUGACGGUAAUGGGUAAAGAAGCACCGGCUAACUACGUG
rnacentral:rRNA from 1 species